rnacentral:rRNA from 1 species
UAAAUUGAGAGUUUGAUCCUGGCUCAGGAUGAACGCUGGCGGCGUGCUUAACACAUGCAAGUCGAGCGAUGAAGUUUCCUUCGGGAAACGGAUUAGCGGCGGACGGGUGAGUAACACGUGGGUAACCUGCCUCAUAGAGUGGAAUAGCCUUCCGAAA